AGCGAACGCUGGCGGCAGGCCUAACACAUGCAAGUCGAACGAACCUUUCGGGGUUAGUGGCGGACGGGUGAGUAACACGUGGGAACGUGCCUUUAGGUUCGGAAUAACUCAGGGAAACUUGUGCUAAUACCGAAUGUGCCCUUCGGGGGAAAGAUUAAUCGCCUUUAGAGCGGCCCGCGUCUGAUUAGCUAGUUGGUUGAGGUAAUGGCUCACCAAGGCGACGAUCAGUAGCUGGUCUGAGAGGAUGAUCAGCCACAUUGGGACUGAGACACGGCCCAAACUCCUACGGGAGGCAGCAGUGGGGAAUCUUGCGCAAUGGGCGAAAGCCUGACGUAGCCAUGCCGCGUGAAUGAUGAAGGUCUUAGGAUUGUAAAAUUCUUUCACCGGGGACGAUAAUGACGGUACCCGGAGAAGAAGCCCCGGCUAACUUCGUG
rnacentral:rRNA from 1 species